rnacentral:lncRNA from 1 species
UUUUGUUGCAAUAUGCAUGAAGUUGUCGUAUUGGUUUUCCCAGAUACUGCGACGUUUCUUCUUCAUGUUUUCGCACACACCAAAAAAUACUGUGACGGCCCCUCAAUAAAAAGAAUACUGCAGAAAUGUUGUAAAUAUCAAGAAAAAAACGCACAGGGAGGCUUUGCUGCAAUGGUCUAGCGGGGUGCCGACCUGUGGAUAUGACACCGGCGCCGUGGCUGAUAGUAUGAAGGAAGCCUCCGACUCGGAGACAUGGACGCCAAUAAUUCCUCUCUCAACAGCCGUCUAGACUCGAGCACAAAGUGGUUACAUUUUCCCUGUGGCCCUUUGCCAGCAGCACGGUACCAUCCCAUCUGCUAUAACAAAAUGGCAAAAGCAAAUCACAAUCACAAUGCAGAUUCAUGCACAUACCACAAGACUGACGAUAAAUGAACUGCACGAAUCUUGGACCACAGCUGUGGUUGCAAGGGGAAACAAUACCAUGAGAUGUCCUCCACUCCACAACACUCUGUUACAUUGUCAUCAGUAACAAUUAUGGCGCAGGAAAUUAUCUAGUGUGUAGUAACAAAAACAGUGACAACAAGAACAGUAAAAAUGCAUGAUGUCCUGAGAGGGAAACUAGUUCCAGUUACUCUACACAGUGCAUGACACAAGACAUGAAACGGCAAAAGGAAGAGGAAGAAAUAUCUUGCUUCAAAAUCCAACUACCCUAAGAAGAUGCUAGUGCCAGGCUAAAGGCCAGGCCGAGAAUCAAAACAACAGGAAGAGACACGUAUUUGGAUCUUGAGAAGAAACAGAUUGGAGGGAGGUCCAGUCCAGAGAUCCAUGCAACAGAAUACAAACAGUCCAGCAGCGCGCUGCAACCCCAGAUUAUGGAUUAGGCGGGAAUCUUGCCGAUAUCCCCUUCCACCACUCGUUCCUUC